rnacentral:rRNA from 1 species
CCUACGGGCGGCUGCAGUGAGGAAUAUUGGUCAAUGGGCGGGAGCCUGAACCAGCCAAGCCGCGUGAAGGAAGAAGGCGCCAAGCGUCGUAAACUUCUUUUGUCGGGGAACAAAGGGCGCCACGUGUGGCGUUGUGAGUGUACCCGACGAAAAAGCAUCGGCAAACUCCGUGCCAGCAGCCGCGGUAAUACGGAGGAUGCGAGCGUUAUCCGGAUUUAUUGGGUUUAAAGGGUGCGUAGGCGGUCCGGAAAGUCAGCGGUAAAAGCCCGGGGCUCAACCCCGGCGAGCCGUUGAAACUGUCGGACUAGAGACGGCGAGAAGUACGCGGAAUGCGCGGUGUAGCGGUGAAAUGCAUAGAUAUCGCGCAGAACUCCGAUUGCGAAGGCAGGGUACCGGCGCCGGACUGACGCUGAGGCACGAAGGCGUGGGUAGCGAACAGGAUUAGAUACCCCUGUAGUC